rnacentral:rRNA from 1 species
AUUGAACGCUGGCGGCAUGCCUAACACAUGCAAGUCGAACGGCAGCAUGCUUAGUAGCAAUACUAAGUGAUGGCGAGUGGCGGACGGGUGAGUAAUACGUAGGGAUCUGCCUUGAAGAGGGGGACGAACCCGGGAAACGUACGGCGUAAUACCGCAUGAUACUCUAAGGAGGAAAGGGUUAGGCGCAAGCCAGUCGCUUUGAGAGGAACCUACGUCCGAUUAGCAGUUGGUAAGGUAAAGGACUUACCAAGGCAGAGAUCGGUAGCUGGUCUGAGAGGAUGACCAGCCACACUGGGACUGAGACACGGCCCACGACUCCUACGGGAGGC